rnacentral:rRNA from 1 species
AUGGCAUGCUACCCUUGCAACCCGCUCCCCCACCUUCCACCUGGUACGACGAUCAUCCCCGGUCCUCUCCGUGCUCGCCGUGGAUAUGUGGUUCUUGGAGGUGACCUACCGAUGGUCUGCGAUGAGUGGGCAAUCGCCAUGCUCGUACCCGAGGUAUCAGUUGAGGAGUUUCAUGGUGCCAUUGCUCUGAUCACGAACUACCUGGAGGGACGUGGAUGGCGCAUCAACUACACUUCCCGCUGUGGUAUGGGUACUGCUUUGGUUCAGUUUACUACUGCCUGUUCGCGUGAUACUGCUGUCAGUCUGAGCCCGUUCCAGAUUGGGGACUCUGUUCUUAGGAUUAGCAAGUAGGAUAGAGGUCUUAAUUACCGCAGCAUUACUUUCACACAUGAUGUAUGGAUCCUACUUAUGAAUUAUCCAUUAGAAUGCUGGGAUGUUGGGGUGAUUAGUCGCAUUGUGUCACCAUAUGGUCGCUUUUUGAUCUGGAGCAACGAUCCAAGGGACAAAGCAAGGGUUAUUGUUAAACUCAGGGUCAUGAAUGUUGACAAUAUUCCUAUCAGUCUAGUUGUUCUGAGGAACCUUGAUGAUGUUGGAUAUGGUGACUCAUGGACUUGCCCAACAUAUAUACUGUCGAGGGAUCUGAUUGGUCAGCAAGGGGGUGAUGAGGACCCAUUGCCACCUGAUGGUGGAAACCCUCAUCCCCUCCCUCAUGUUCAUGGAGGUUUCUGGCAUGAUGAGGUAUUAGGGAAUAUACCUAUGGAUCAAGUUGUUAUUAAUCCUCAUAAUGAGGACCUUGGUGCACCAUAUGAGGAUGUUCAUGUGGUCCAUAAUGACAAUGUGAACCACGAUGAUGCCCACAUGGCUGCUGCUUCUGAACAUAUUAAUGCUGAUCUGGUUGAGGCACCUGUUUUGGAGGAAGUAAGAUCUUCUAUUCAGAUACACUCCAAUACAAUCUAUGCUGACUCUUGGGCCUGA